AAAAAAUAGGUUAAAAAUUUAAUCAUUUAAAAUUUUGAUUUCCUAACUCCUCUGGUCGUUCUAUAUUGCUGAUUCGUAUUGUAUAAUUAGUGGCUAAGUGUUUAAGCUUUUACCAAGAAAACUAAUCUUUCUAGAAGUAGUAUACAUGAAAAAUAAAGUGGGGUUGUUGAAAAUUUUCUUCGAAUUUUAAAAAUGUUGGAUAUAAUAAAUAUGUUUUGUAGAUACCUCGAUAUAAAGUAAACAAUUAAUUUCUUAUUUUUUCUGAAAUUUCAGAACUGUUGAGAAAAAUACUAUAGUUUUCGAAGGUGAUUGCUAAACAGUUCCAGAACUCCACCGAUUCUAGACCAGCGUGAUGCCCAAUUGUGGUUCCAAAACCUAGAGUUCCUGAGAUUCUGAAAAAGUGAUAAAAUGUAAGACGAAGCCUCUGAGCUGUGACCACCAGCCAUCCAUAACACGCAACAGCAGAUUCUGCAAUUAGAAAGGUCUCAUUUGUGUCUCAAUCUAAAGAUCCGAGUCUGAGAUAUGUGAUAAAAGGAGAUGAUUUGAUAAAGGAAGGAUGUAUAAUGAUUCUUACAGCUUCUAGAAAAGGACCAUGUCUUGUCUUUCUGAUU